UGAAACAAGGGGAACCAGAAUGGCAUG
rnacentral:piRNA from 1 species